GCAGAGGCAACACCAUGAAACUUCCAAGCCGAAGCAAUAGCAUGGCUCCCCCUUCAACAAUGGCUGGUCAUGCUUCGCUGCAGAUGAAUAUGUUUCUGAGGGCUUGGAAACAGCGUCCUUCAAAAGGUAAAUUGUUUCCAGGAUUUCUUAUGCUGCUAUAUAUCCUGACGUGUUCUGUAAUUUGUAGUAACGUUGUUAUGUUUCGGUUUCUUUGCUCUGAAUGAUUCUAGUUCCUCUUGUUUGAUCAGUAAUGUUGUCUGAUGAUUAUUCAUGGAAGAUGUUUUCUAGAUCAUCGAGGAGAUCUGCUUCCCAGUUCCACUACUUGAAUGAAAUAUGGGUAAACGCAGUCAGAUGUGUACAAACGGCCUGAUCUAAAACAGAAAAUUCAUUUAGCGCCGUCAGUCUGUUCUCCAAACUAACUGCUGAUGAGCAUACCAUUUUCUUUCAGAAGAAUGAAAGGUAGACGGGCAUAUCUUGUUGCCGUCAAAAUGGUGCUAUUUGGGGGCAAAACGGCGCAGCAUACUAGCAGCUUACCUCUUUGAAUUCAGAAGCAACCCGUUAAACAUAAUGAUCAGGAAGGCAACCUGGUAAGUAGCAAGCACGCCCAUUUACUGCUUCAUGAUUGCAAUUUUCCAAGUUCAUACAAUGUGCAGAUAGAGAAGAACUCUUUCAUGCCUUUUUUGCUGGAACUUUCUAUAUCAAAAAGGGACAGACUAGGGGGAGUUUCGCUGCAAUAGAGAUCUUUCAUAGAUGGAUACCGAUAUGAUCUUAUGCAAGGGAUGAGAAACGAUGUAGUAGCAUGCCCUAGUAAGAAUCCUGAAAAGAGCCGACAGAGAACUCUUUCAUGGAUCAUGCCUUUUUUGCUGUACAUUGUAAGUAGUAGUUUUGUGAUCUUAGGCACGUCUCUGUUCAGCCUAGCCUGAGUACUGUCGCGUGCUUCUUUUGAUUUGUGUUAUUUCUAGCACUUGCUUCAAACAUAAGGGGGGCCAGGAAAAACAAUGCUAGAUUGUUAUCUCAACCAACAGCAUCUCUCGGUUUAACAAAUUGUACAAAACAUUAUUAUGUAACCCAUACAAUCACUACAAGAAAGGCAGUCAUAUGAUUCAAUUAAAAUGUCUGCGUCUGCUAUAAAAUACAGAAGGUGCAACCAUAAUUACCUAAAUUCGAGUAACUAAGUUCACCAAAGUUUCAUGGCCAGUAUAUACCAAAACAAGAAACACAUUUUCAGCCCUUUUUAACUUACAAAACACACACACUUAUCAGCUUUCCUCAGCACGGCACCCGCGUCUUCUAUGCAACAGUGGAAUUGAAUGAACAAAUGACCUGUUGCCGCGCACCUCGUGGAACAUGACAGCGCCUUGAAGCUCGCUGAAUCUCUUGGUCUCGUUUCAUCAUACGUAAUAAGCCAGCAAAGUAGCCAACGCAGUCCAGAACACCAAUAGUGGGAGCGUCCAUGGUUGUUUUGUCAGAGGGCUUGCACUAGGCAACCAUGGAUAGUCAUCGGGAGACGGCAUGACACAGUUAUCACCAUUGAAGUACACACGCCGUGGAAACGCCCAUCCUUUUUGGAAGGUGAAAGUCUCUGAGUCCUUCCGCAUGAGUAGUUCUGACUGCGCGUUUCCAAGCGGACCAGCUUGAUUGAGCAAAUCAUUGUAGAACUUCAUUCCCCAGAACAUUGCGGUGUCAUCUGAAAUGGGAGGGAUAAACACGUCAGAUAGGAGGCACAUCUCUAAGUCAGAAACUAAUUAAAAUAGUUCACAAGGUGACUUACUUAUGCGGCCUCCAUAUGGGGUAAGUGGCUUAUAGUUGAAGCUGAACAGCUUUGUGAUAUUAUCGAAGUUAGGAUGCUGGGCAACCAUGUUCCAGUCUGUAUAAUUCAUGCGGUAGUUGAAGUUUGUGAUGGUGACUUUCACUCUCCAGUAGUCCUUGUAGUUGAGCUUCACAUGCCAAUGGAUUCUUAUCGGGCACAUGUGGGAAGUACAUUGGACAAGAGGCUGGCCGGUUAAUUUGCCAGGGCCAUUGAUGGCAGAUUGCAAAUAAGGCGAAUUGUCACUGUAAAAUGGAUAGGAUUAGUAAGGAAUUUGCAGAAAGUUGGAAACUUAAUAGGAAGCAUAGUAAACAGUAAUGAUUAUUAACUCACUUUACACAGCUUCCUGGACGAGUAAUGUUGUUUUGGCAGCCGCAAGAGCACGUUGGGCAGUUCACAAUAGUGUCAUUAUAAAACGAUGAGAGAGAUACACAGCAGGUUGGAGUCUUCUGAGCAAGGAAUUGGGAGUAUGUGCAGGUUACAUUCCACGACACUGCCAAUAGUGAAUUUCUUUGGUUAAUACCCACUAAAUAAAGAACAUUAAAAGCAAUAAAGCAUAAAAACUAUAUGCAACCAAUCUGAUGUUUCCUGCAUUUGACAUGCAUUAUUUGCAAGUGAACAAAACUAGUUAAGAUAUUAUCAGGCUUAGCGGUGGUUUACUUUAAAAUAAAUAUCAGCUAACAUCAAUCCUAGGUGAUGAACUCAUCUCCUCUCGAAAAUGAAUCACUUCCCGUUUCAAUCCUUUCAAUCUUUCACUAAUCCUACACAUAUUAUAACAUAAAAUUCAUUCACAAUUAAGGAGCACAAACAUACAAAAGUGGUACUAAGAUGUGUUUAGCUCAAUUAGUGUAACUUGCUAAUGCAUUUGCGCAAAGUAUUAAAGCAAUAUAGAGCAAGCAGUGAAGAGCAAUGAGUGGGCAACUUACUGAGAGCUUGGGUUACCCUGCGCCCGUCUGACGAGUAAUACUUGGUAGGCCUGCCAACAAGAGCACGCCCACAUGUGUACCCUGGACCUGGGGCCCUAAGGGUGAAGUUUUUCGGCAUCUUAACCGUCUUAUUGGUAGUCCCAGCAAGACCUACACUAAUCUGGAAGGAGGAUGCUGCAUUUCCUGGGUCCUGGUUAAAUGUCUUUAUAACUCCUGCCUUGCAACAAUUAGCAAUUUGCUGGUUGAAUGGGGUGCCCGGAAGAAGAUCGACAAUCGUUGGAUCUCUCUUGCAGCAAUGGGGAGGGGCACUCUUGAAUUUGGAGCAAUCACCCUGCUCAGUAGCCUGAGCCCCCACCAUCGACCAGAUGACCUCUUUCUUUGCCCACGACCACCCCAGCUGCCACCCAGGUGCAGGUAUGUGUCGGAACUGCUGGUAGUUAAACAUUGUGACUGUUGCCUGCACAUGACAAGUUUGGGAAAAAAAGAUCAUGAUCCAAGUAGAGGUGACCGGAUAUCCAAAAUCUGCUGGUAAUUGCACUUGGUGGCUACUAUAUUGUUUGUGGCAAAGUUUGUGACCAACUAUUAGCCAUGCUACUUGUCAAGGUCAAAUCAUGAGCUAAUAUAUAAUAGGCUAAUAGGUUGAGAUGGAAGACAGAGCUGUUGAUGUGAAGAGGUGCUACUUACAACAUAACCAUCAGGAGUCCACGAAAUAAUAUCCCAUUUUAUGGUGAUGUUGCCAUUUGGAUCCAGCGAAUCAUAAGCCUCUGCGUGAACAAACAAACAAAGGGUGCAUAGAUCAGAUACUCAUAUGGAAACAAACUAAAGAAAGAAGUUCAAUCGACAUGCUAGAUGCACUCUAUGUUACGGAGUACACCAUAAUUGCAGUUUGCAGGAUCUAUCCGCUGGAUACUUUCUAGCAGCAAAACAAUUGGUCGACAUGUUUUUUACUGAUUCGCUUCCCUCCUGGACAGAUCUAUCGCCACAGAGCUCGACACGAGCAAGUGUGAACAAGAAUCAGCAGAAUGGCAGCGGGGAAGCUUGACAGAUCGCUCGUCCCACAGAUAUGGAUAGCUUCCUAAUUUGGCUUCAGAAUGCGGACAAGCUCGAAAUGAACGGACAGAAUUAACCCGGUGGGAUCAAAAUUAGAAGCCACCGACACCGACAGCACUAACUAAACUGGAAUGGGCAUUUGACCCGCGCGCAGAGCAGAACCGUGCGACCGCCUUGAUCUCAGCGAUGCUCCGCGGCGAUCGGGAUCCGUAUACCGAGUCGCCGGCUCCCGGCACGACGACGAGGCACGAGAAGGAGAGAGAGGAGGACCGGGCGGGCGGGAAGGAGGGGAGCUAGCCGAACCUGUGGUGGCCGGUGCGGAGAAGAAGAGCACCGCCGCGAGCAGCACGGCGCAGCAGGCCGCGGAUCUGGAGCUCCCGGCGACGCCACCAACCGGCGCCAUUUCCUGCCCCGCUACUCCUCCACCGACACUCUCCCGCAGCCGCACCUACCCACCCACCGAUCCCCGCUCCGCUCUGUACGGCGAGGAAUGCGGCCGCGCCCGCCGAUGAAGGGGGGAGCUGGAGAUCUGAGGCGACUGAGCAGGUGGUGGUGGAGGAGGAGGGAGUGGGACUUAAAGCAUGUGCGGCCGCGGCCGUCUCCCCAGUUUUUACAGCGACGAGACGAGACGCGCUCCGUCUGCGAGUCUGCUCCCUCACGGACGCUUCCUUGCGCGCCUCGGUGGGAAUUAUAUCGCGGGGAGGGGGCUCCCUUUUUUUUUCUCUCCCGCGGAUGUGACGGCCCAACCUCCGAGGUGGUUCGGACGGAAAUGCCCUCCGCUCGUACAGCUGUUCCCUAUUGGGCGAUGGAUGUCACUCGUCGGGAGCUGGGACAGGGACUGCGACCUCUGCCCCGGCCAUGGCGCUCGGGAGUGGGGUGUUUGGAUGUCUGUUCCGGAGAUCAUUCUGCAUGAGCAAAACUUUGCUAAAUCUGACAAAGUCGGAUGCCAAAACAUAGCACAUGUUUGAAACAAAAGCACUACUAGCCAUGCUCACUUCUGCAUCAGCAAACUUUGCUAAAUCUGACAAAGCUUGGUGUCAAAAUAUUUCUCCCUCCGUUCCUAAAUAAUUGUCUUUUUAGAGAUUUCAAAUAGACUAUCACAUACGGAUGUAUAUAGACAUAUUUUAGAGUAUAGAUUCACUCAUUUUGCUCCGUAUAUAGUCACUUAUUGAAAUCUUUAGAAAGACAAAUAUUUAGGAACGGAGGGAGUACUAAAACUUAACCCUUAAGCCCUAAACUGUAAACCCGUAAAAGCAAACGAAAUUUGAUAAAACUUGGUGAAACUUUGUAAAACUUAAUAUUACAACUAUCAAAUUUUAUAUAUUCGAAGCUUGGUAAAAAUUUAAAAAGGUAUCUAAAUGCAUUCAAAAUUGAUCUUGUUCGAAAGUGCUCAUUGCAAUGAAUACGCAAACAAAACUUAAUUUGGACUUUUGGUUUAAAAGAUGCAAUAGAUUCAAAAUUUGAGAUAAGAUGAAAAAGCAUGGAAGGUGGGGUGGAUGAUACAUGCAACUCUGGCAAAAGCUGUCAUGCAUUGACCCUGGUGCAACGAUUAAGGGCUAACGACACAAACUAGUGCAUCAAUCUUGAAGCAAAAUGGGUGGGCACAUGCAUGCAUGCCCCGGACGUGCAUGUCCCUGCGAAUUACCGACACAGCUAGGGCCAUGCAACCUCCCCNNNNNNNNNNNNNNNNNNNNNNNNNNNNNNNNNNNNNNNNNNNNNNNNNNNNNNNNNNNNNNNNNNNNNNNNNNNNNNNNNNNNNNNNNNNNNNNNNNNNNNNNNNNNNNNNNNNNNNNNNNNNNNNNNNNNNNNNNNNNNNNNNNNNNNNNNNNNNNNNNNNNNNNNNNNNNNNNNNNNNNNNNNNNNNNNNNNNNNNNNNNNNNNNNNNNNNNNNNNNNNNNNNNNNNNNNNNNNNNNNNNNNNNNNNNNNNNNNNNNNNNNNNNNNNNNNNNNNNNNNNNNNNNNNNNNNNNNNNNNNNNNNNNNNNNNNNNNNGUGUUGAUUGUCAUACCCACAUAAAACACCAAGAAUGUUGAUGAUAUGCCGGUUCAGUCUUUCGGAGGUGCUCAUAGGGGUAGGUUGUGCGUGUGUGCGUUCAUAGGGAUGAGUGUAUGCGCGUGUAUAUGAACGCUUGCGUCUGUACUGUGUUCAAAAAAAGACAUCAUCGCCGUACUUGGGAUGACUCACACCUCCACCACUGCUCUGCCACCAAAUUGUUGUCUUGCCACUCAAGGCGUUGCCCUCGGCAUUCUCACCUCCACCUAGGGGUUGUUGCCCCAUGUCACCUUUCUGUAGCCUCGUGUCCAUAUUAGCUGGAGGAUGCGACUCACCACCCUAUAGCUCUGCUCCUAGAGCCACCAUAGUGCAUCUUACCGUGGAAGGGUUGCAUAUGGGUAUCCAGCGCGUCCAUCCUCCGAUCCAGCACAGAGCAACUGUACCCACAAAGACAUCUCUUGUGGUUGUUGCCUAGCUUCAAUUGUCGCAUUGCCAUUGAAGAUGGCAGUUCCUUUAGAGGUGAACCUUGUUGCGGCCACAUAAAGAGACUGCUACUAGGUGCUGCGCCACACGAAGCCAACGCGUUGGGGUAGAAAGAGUGCUUUGAGAUCUAGAAAGACACAUGUCAUCUACUCAAGAGGGGCUAAUUUGAUCAAGAAAAAGACUUGGUAUUGUAGUUUUUUUUUCCGUUGGGUCGAGGACAAGGACUGCAACCUCCUGGAUUUGGUGGUGGAGGACAUUGGGAGAGAGCCAAAUUUUGUACUACCGACAAAGCUUGACGUCAAAAUGCUAGAUAUGCUUUGAACAUAACUUGGCCACAUUCAGUUCCGCAUCAACAAACUUCACUAAAUCUGACAAAGUUUGAUGACCUAAUAUUAGACAUGUUUUGCACCAAUGGAAUAUGGUUUGCAAUGGCCCACGAAUUGGGUUUGAGUUAUCAUACACAAUGUGUCAUACAAAAAUUCAACUCCACAAAGUAGUGAUGAAACUAGGUUGCCCGUAAGGCGAGGGAAACGGGAAAGUUGAUGGCAAAGACAUCAUCACCGCAUUUGCAGUGACACACACCUUCACCGACGAUUUGUCAUUAGACCGUUGUCUUGCUACUCAAGGUGUUGCCCUUGUCAUUCUAACCUGCACCNNNNNNNNNNNNNNNNNNNNNNNNNNNNNNNNNNNNNNNNNNNNNNNNNNNNNNNNNNNNNNNNNNNNNNNNNNNNNNNNNNNNNNNNNNNNNNNNNNNNNNNNNNNNNNNNNNNNNNNNNNNNNNNNNNNNNNNNNNNNNNNNNNNNNNNNNNNNNNNNNNNNNNNNNNNNNNNNNNNNNNNNNNNNNNNNNNNNNNNNNNNNNNNNNNNNNNNNNNNNNNNNNNNNNNNNNNNNNNNNNNNNNNNNNNNNNNNNNNNNNNNNNNNNNNNNNNNNNNNNNNNNNNNNNNNNNNNNNNNNNUGCCAUAUGUCACCGAUCUGCUCCUUUUCUUCAGUCGUCGGUCUUGAAAGUAGGUUCAAAUCAUCCAUUUUCGUCCUUGUGGAUCACCGGAGUACGUAUGGGAGUACACACGUCGGGCAUCCGAAGAGCCCCUUUAAGUUCUCGGCCUUUAUCAAAUGCCUUAUUAUUUUCACACCACACCUCGGGUUGAAGUUUUCCCCGCGCGGCGGUGCUUUCGUGCAGCCGAGCUCCAAUGCCGGACUGCAAUUGAGGUGACGUAGACCACUUCGGUCUUGAAAAUAUUGAAGGAGUUUAGCCAACUGAGUUGUACGCCAACAAAAAGUCUUCCGUGCAGCCAGCCGCUCGCAGCCAGAACUUGCCAUGGACGGGAAGAGAAGGAGACGAAGAGUGGAGUGGGCUUUGACAGCGGUUUAGAGUUCGUCUGGAGUGGGGCCAGUGUAGGCCGGUCCGACGUGGCAAGCGUGCUCGGUCGCGGCUGGGUCACCGUUUUGUAAUUGAAUACUGACUGGGCCGUCCGUUCGAUCAGUUUGGAAAGCCCGGUAGUAGAUGUCCUUAGCGCCGAGUCCUAAUGCAUAUUUCGUCACAACUGUUCUCUCCAACCACCGACAUAUGAAUCUUGAUAAGACGAAAUUUUCGUCUUGUCUUGAUGUGCUAAAUUUGUUCUUACUUUUUUCUGAAAGAAAAUUGUAAGAGAAAAGCCCUACAUGUUUUCUAAAAAAAACCUACAUGGUAAAUACACAGGUGUAAAAAUUCGAACAUAGUUGAUGGAGUUGUACAUUCACUUCGGCGGCCAAGUGCGCCGGUGCUACAUUCGGUCACAAACAUAUUAGACCGUUAAGCAUCUACAGUAACAUGUUUGCCACUGACCGUAUGAGCAAUUCCAACGGCCGAUCCAAAUGGACGGCGAUUUCGUCCGCUUUUUCUUCGUUUGGGUCGGCUGCCCGCCCGACGUCCGCUCUGUUUUUGAUAUGGGUCGGCAGCGCGCCCAAUGCGCCGACCCAUAUGUGCAGGCGUGGCCGGCUGGCCGCCCAAUUUUACAUUGAUUUUGCAUUCAAACAUAUUUGUGAAAUGAAAAUGUUUAACAAGCCAAAUAGUCUGGCCGCCCAAAUAAAUAGUAUAGUUUUACAAGCCAAAUACAAAUAAAAAUGUUUCACAUAGUUUUGCAAACGAAUAAAAAAAGAUACAUCUAUUGGUUGCCAACAUGAGUCCACGUAUGCUCAACCAAAUCAUUUUGCAGUUGCACGUGAGUUUCCCAAUCACGCAUGUCUUCAUGAAACUGAGUGAACUGCUCAAAUGUUGCCGCUACUCCAUGCUCAGGCACAACAUUCUCACCCUGAAACUGAAAGCCUUGAUCGUACAGAUGUUUCGGGCGCUCGUCUUCUACGAUCAUAUUAUGCAUGAUCACACAAGCAGUCAUCACCUCCCAUAGUUUCUGCGUGCUCCAAGUAUUAGCAGGAUACCGAACGAUGCCCCAUCGAGAUUGCAAAACACCAAAGGCACGCUCGACAUCCUUCCUAGCACUCUCUUGCUUUUGGGCAAAUCUUUUCCUUUUUUUCUCUGACAGGGUUGGGUAUUGUCUUGACAAUAGUGGUCCACUGAGGAUAGAUACCGUCACCCAAAUAGUACCCUUUCUCGUAGUUGUGGCCGUUGACAGUAAAGUUCACCGGUGGGCUGUUGCCUUCGGCAAGCCUAGCAAACACCGGCGAGCGCUGAAGCACGUUGACAUCAUUGUGUGAUCCAGACAUGCCAAAGAAAGAGUGCCAGAUCCAGAGAUCUUGAGACGCCACGGCCUCUAGUAUGACAGUGCAAGCCCUGACAUGUCCCUUAUACUGCCCUUGCCAAGCAGAAGGGCAGUUCUUCCACUCCCAGUGCAUGCAGUCUAUGCUGCCAAGCAUCCUCGGGAAGCCCCUGCUGGCAUUCAUCGCCAACAAACGGGCUGUAUCUUCAGCUGUCGGCUCUCUCAAGUACUCAGGGCCAAACACAGCAAUCACAGCCUUGCAGAACUUAUACAGGGACUCUAGGCAUGUAGACUCGCUCAUACGGACAUACUCGUCAAUGAGAUCACCGGGCACUCCGUAUGCAAGCAUUCGGAUGGCGGCAGUGCAUUUCUGAUAAGAGGAGAAACCAAUCUUGCCGACGGCAUCCUCUUUGCACUCGAAGUAGUCAUCAUAGCCGACCACUCCCUCUCUGAUAUGGUUGAAAACAUGCCUACUCAUACGGAACCGGCGGCGGAAUUUGUGAUGUUUGAACAACGGGUUUGUUGUAUCAAAGUAGUCCUUCCAGAGAAGGAAAUGCGCGCUCUCUCAGUUGUGAUUCAACGCCGGAAGGUGGCCCGGAAUGGAGCCACGAAAUAACGGACGCUGGCUGUUGAGGUGGUGAUGGACCAACUGUUGGGAAUCGUAGCAUAAUUUUAAAAUUUUCCUACGUUCACCAAGAUGCAUCUAUGGAGUGUACUAGCAACGAGGGGAAGGGAGUGCAUCUACGUACCCUUCUAGAUCGCGAGCGGAAGCGUUCCAAUGAACGUGGAUGACGGAGUCGUACUCGCCGUGAUCCAAAUCACCGAUGACCGAGUGCCGAACGGACGGCACCUCCGCGUUCAACACACGUACGGUGCAGCGACGUCUCCUCCUUCUUGAUCCAGCAAGGGGGAAGGAGAGGUUGAUGGAGAUCCAGCAGCACGACGGCGUGGUGGUGGAUGUAGCGGGUCUCGUGCAGGGCUUCGCCGAGCUACUACGAGAGAGAGAGAGGUGUUGCAGGGGAGGAGGGAGGCGCCCAAGCUGUUGUGUCCUGCCCUCCCUCCCCCCCUUUAUAUAGGCCCCUGGGGGGGUGCGCCAGCCCUGGAGAUGAGAUCCAGGGGGGCGGCGGCGGCCACAAGGGGGGAAGGGGUGCCUUGCCUCCCAAGGCAAGGGGGAACUCCCCCCCUAGGGUUCCCAACCCUAGGCGCAUGGGGGGAGGCCCAAGGGGGGCGCCCCAGCCCACUAGGGGCUGGUUCCCUUCCACUUUCAGCCCACGGGGCCCUCCGGGACAGGUGGCCCCACCCGGUGGACCCCCGGGACCCUUCCGGUGGUCCCGGUACAAUACCGAUAACCCCCGAAACUUUCCCGGUGGCCGAAACUGGACUUCCUAUAUAUAAUUCUUCACCUCCGGACCAUUCCGGAACCUCUCGUGACGUCCGGGAUCUCAUCCGGGACUCCGAACAACUUUCGGGUUUCCGCAUACAUAUAUCUCUACAACCCUAGCGUCACCGGACCUUAAGUGUGUAGACCCUACGGGUUCGGGAGACAUGCAGACAUGACCGAGACGCCUCUCUGGUCAAUAACCAACAGCGGGAUCUGGAUACCCAUGUUGGCUCCCACAUGCUCCACGAUGAUCUCAUCGGAUGAACCACGGUGUCGAGGAUUCAAUCAAUCCGUAUGCAAUUCCCUUCGUCAAUCGGUAUGUUACUUGCCCGAGAUUCGAUCGUCGGUAUCCCAAUACCUUGUUCAAUCUCGUUACCGGCAAGUCUCUUUACUCGUACCGCAAUGCAUGAUCCCGUGACUAACGCCUUAGUCACAUUGAGCUCAUUAUGAUGAUGCAUUACCGAGUGGGCCCAGAGAUACCUCUCCGUCACACGGAGCUACAAAUCCCAGUCUCGAUCCGUGCCAACCCAACAGACACUUUCGGAGAUACCCGUAAUGCACCUUUAUAGUCACCCAGUUACGUUGUGACGUUUGGCACACCCAAAGCACUCCUACGGUAUCCGGAAGUUGCACGAUCUCAUGGUCUAAGGAAAAGAUACUUGACAUUGGAAAAGCUCUAGCAAACGAAACUACACGAUCUUUUAUGCUAUGCUUAAGUUGGGUCUUGUCCAUCACAUCAUUCUCCUAAUGAUGUGAUCCCGUUAUCAAUGACAUCCAAUGUCCAUAGCCAGGAAACCAUGACUAUCUGUUGAUCAACGAGCUAGUCAACUAGAGGCUUACUAGGGACACUUUGUGGUCUAUGUAUUCACACAUGUAUUACGAUUUCCGGACAAUACAAUUAUAGCAUGAAUAAUAGACAAUUACCAUGAACAAAGAAAUAUAAUAAUAACCAUUUAUUAUUGCCUCUAGGGCAUAUUUCCAACAGUCUCCCACUUGCACUAGAGUCAAUAAUCUAGUUACAUUGUGAUGAAUCGAACACCCAUUGCGUCCUGGUGUUGAUCAUGUUUUGCUCUAGGGAGAGGUUUAGUCAACGGAUCUGCUACAUUCAGGUCCGUGUGCACUUUACAAAUAUCUAUGUCUCCAUUUUGAACACUUUCACGAAUGGAGUUGAAGCGACGCUUGAUAUGCCUGGUCUUCCUGUGAAACCUGGGCUCCUUCGCAAGGGCAAUAGCUCCAGUGUUGUCACAGAAGAGAGUCAUUGGGCCCGACGCAUUGGGAAUCACCCCUAGGUCGGUAAUGAACUCCUUCAUCCAGACUGCUUCCUGUGCUGCCUCCGAGGCUGCCAUGUACUCCGCUUCACAUGUAGAUCCCGCCACGACGCUUUGCUUGCAACUACACCAGCUUACUGCUCCUCUAUUCAAAAUAUACACGUAUCCGGUCUGUGACUUCGAGUCAUCCAGAUCUGUGUCGAAGCUGGCGUCGACGUAACCCUUUACGACGAGCUCUUCGUCACCUCCAUAAACGAGAAACAUAUCCUUAGUCCUCUUCAGGUACUUCAGGAUAUUCUUGACCGCUGUCCAGUGUUCCUUGCCGGGAUUACUUUGGUACCUUCCUACCAAACUUACGGAAAGGUUUACAUCAGGUCUGGUACACAGCAUGGCAUACAUAAUAGACCCUAUGGCCGAGGCAUAGGGGAUGACACUCAUCUCUUCUAUAUCUUCUGCCGUGGUCGGGCAUUGAGCCGUGCUCAAUUGCACACCUUGCAAUACAGGCAAGAACCCCUUCUUGGACUGAUCCAUAUUGAACUUCUUCAAUAUCUUGUCAAGGUAUGUACUCUGUGAAAGACCAAUGAGGCGUCUUGAUCUAUCUCUAUAGAUCUUGAUGCCUAAUAUAUAAGCAGCUUCUCCAAGGUCCUUCAUUGAAAAACACUUAUUCAAAUAGGCCUUUAUACUUUCCAAGAAUUCUAUAUCAUUUCCCAUCAAUAGUAUGUCAUCCACAUAUAAUAUGAGAAAUGCUACAGAGCUCCCACUCACUUUCUUGUAAACACAGGCUUCUCCAUAAGUCUGUGUAAACCCAAACGCUUUGAUCAUCUCAUCAAAGCGAAUGUUCCAACUCCGAGAUGCUUGCACCAGCCCAUAAAUUGAGCGUUGGAGCUUGCAUACUUUGUUAGCAUUCUUAGGAUCGACAAAACCUUCCGGCUGCAUCAUAUACAACUCUUCCUUAAGGAGGCCGUUAAGGAAUGCCGUUUUGACGUCCAUCUGCCAUAUCUCAUAAUCAUAGUAUGCGGCAAUUGCUAACAUGAUUCAGACGGACUUCAGCUUCGCUACGGGUGAGAAAGUCUCAUCGUAGUCAACCCCUUGAACUUGUCGAUAACCCUUAGCGACAAGUCGAGCUUUGUAGAUGGUCACAUUACCAUCUGCGUCCGUCUUCUUCUUAAAGAUCCAUUUGUUUUCUAUGGCUCGCCGCUCAUCGGGCAAGUCAGUCAAAGUCCAUACUUUGUUUUCAUACAUGGAUUCUAUCUCGGAUUUCAUGGCUUCUAGCCAUUUGUCGGAAUCCGGGCCCGCCAUCGCUUCUUCAUAGUUCGAAGGUUCACCGUUGUCUAACAACAUGAUUUCCAGGACAGGGUUGCCGUACCACUCUGGUGCGGAACGUGUCCUUGUGGACCUACGAAGUUCAGUGACUUGAUCUGUAGCUUCAUGAUCAUCAUCAUUAACUUCCUCCCCCGUCGGUGUAGGCACCACAGGAACAUUUUCCCGUGCUGCGCUACUUUCCGACUCGGAAGGGGUGACUAUCACCUCAUCAAGUUCCACUUUCCUCCCACUCAAUUCUUUCGAGAGAAACUCCUUCUCUAGAAAGGACCCAUUCUUGGCAACGAAGAUCUUGCCUUCGGAUCUGAGGUAGAAGGUGUACCCAAUAGUUUCCUUAGGGUAUCCUAUGAAGACGCAUUUUUCCGAUUUGGGUUCGAGCUUUUCAGGUUGAAGUUUCUUGACAUAAGCAUCGCAUCUCCAAACUUUUAGAAACGACAGCUUAGGUUUCUUCCCAAACCAUAAUUCAUACGGUGUCGUCUCAACGGAUUUAGACGGUGCCCUAUUUAAAGUGAAUGCGGCAGUCUCUAAAGCAUAACCCCAAAAUGAGAGCGGUAAAUCGGUAAGAGACAUCAUAGAUCGCACCAUAUCCAAUAGAGUGCGAUUACGACGUUCGGACACACCAUUUCUUUGAGGUGUUCCAGGCGGCGUGAGUUGUGAAACUAUUCCACAUUUCCUUAAGUGUGUACCAAAUUCGUGACUUAAAAUUCUCCACCACGAUCUGAUCGUAAGAAUUUUAUUUUUCUGUCACGUUGAUUCUCGACUUCACUCUGAAAUUCCUUGAACUUUUCAAAGGUUUCAGACUUGUGUUUCAUUAGGUAGACAUACCCAUAUCUACUUAAAUCAUCAGUGAGAGUGAGAACAUAACGAUAUCCUCCGCGAGCCUCAACACUCAUUGGACCACACACAUCGGUAUGUAUGAUUUCCAAUAAGUUGGUUGCUCGCUCCAUUGUUCCGGAGAACGGAGUCUUGGUCAUCUUACCCAUGAGGCAUGGUUCGCACGUGUCAAAUGAUUCGUAAUCAAGAGACUCCAAAAGUCCAUCUGCAUGGAGCUUCUUCAUGCGCUUGACACCAAUGUGACCAAGGCGGCAGUGCCACAAGUAUGUGGGACUAUCGUUAUCAACUUUACAUCUUUUGGUAUUCACACUAUGAAUAUUUGUAACAUCACGUUCGAGAUUCAUCAAAAAUAAACCAUUGACCAGCGGGGCAUGACCAUAAAACAUAUCUCUCAAAUAAAUAGAACAACCAUUAUUCUCGGAUUUAAAUGAGUAGCCAUCUCGAAUUAAACGAGAUCCAGAUACAAUGUUCAUGCUCAAAGCUGGCACUAAAUAACAAUUAUUGAGGUUUAAAACUAAUCCCGUGGGUAGAUGCAGAGGUAGCGUGCCAACGGCGAUCACAUCGACCUUGGAACCAUUCCCGACGCGCAUCGUCACCUCGUCCUUUGCCAGUCUCCGUUUAUUCCGUAGUUCCUGCUUUGAGUUACAAAUAUGAGCAACCGCACCGGUAUCAAAUACCCAGGAGCUACUACGAGUACUGGUAAGGUACACAUCAAUUACUUGUAUAUCACAUAUACCUUGGGUGUUGCCGGCCUUCUUCUUGUCUGCUAAAUAUUUGGGGCAGUUCCGCUUCCAGUGACCACUUCCCUUGCAAUAAAAGCACUCAGUCCCGGGCUUGGGUCCAUUCUUUGACUUCUUCCCAGUAACUGGUUUACCGGGCGCGGCAACUCCCUUGCCGUCCUUCUUGAAGUUCUUCUUACCCUUGCCCUUCUUGAACUUGGUGGUUUUAUUCACCAUCAACACUUGAUGUUCUUUUCUGAUCUCCCCUUCCGCUGAUUUCAGCAUUGAAUAUACCUCGGGAAUGGUCUUUUCCAUCCCCUGCAUAUUGUAGUUCAUCACAAAGCUCUUGUAGCUUGGUGGAAGCGACUGGAGGAUUCUGUCAAUGACCGCGUCAUCCGGGAGAUUAACUCCCAGCUGAGACAAACGGUUGUGCAACCCAGACAUUCUGAGUAUGUGCUCACUAACAGAACUGUUCUCCUCCAUUUUACAGCUGAAGAACUUGUCGGAGACUUCAUAUCUCUCGACCCGGGCAUGAGCUUGAAAAACCAGUUUCAGCUCCUCGAACAUCUCAUAUGCUCCAUGUUUCUCAAAACGCUUUUGGAGACCCGGUUCUAAGCUGUAAAGCAUGCCGCACUGAACGAGGGAGUAAUCAUCAGCACGCUGCUGCCAAGCGUUCAUAACGUCUUGGUUCUCAGGGAUUGGUGCUUCACCUAGCGGUGCUUCUAAGACAUAAUCUUUCUUGGCUGCUAUGAGGAUGAUCCUUAGGUUCCGGACCCAGUCCGUAUAGUUGCUGCCAUCAUCUUUCAGCUUGGUUUUCUCUAGGAACGCGUUGAAAUUGAGGACAACGUGGGCCAUUUGAUCUACAAUACAUAGUGUAAAGAUUUAGACUAAGUUCAUGAUAAUUAAGUUCAUAUAAUCAAAUUAUUUAAUGAACUCCCACUCAGAUUGACAUCCCUCUAGUCAUCUAAGUGAAACAUGAUCCGAAUUUGACUAGGCCGUGUCCGAUCAUCACGUGAGACGGACUAGUCAAGAUCGGUGAACAUCUCCAUGUUGAUCGUAUCUUCUAUACGACUCAUGCUCGACCUUUCGGUCCUCCAUGUUCCGAGGCCAUGUCUGUACAUGCUAGGCUCGUCAAGUGAACCUAAGUGUAUUGCGUGUGUUCCGAGGCCAUGUCUGUACAUGCUAGGCUCGUCAACACCCGUUGUACUCAAACGUUAGAAUCUAUCACACCCGAUCAUCACGUGGUGCUUCGAAACAACGAACCUUCGCAACGGUGCACAGUUAGGGUGAACACUUUCUUGAAAUUAUUAUAAGGGAUCAUCCUACUUGCUACCGUCGUUCUAAGCAAAUAAGAUGCAAAAACAUGAUAAACAUCACAUGCAAUCAAAUAGUGACAUGAUAUGGCCAAUAUCAUCAUGCUCCUUUGAUCUCCAUCUUCGGGGCACCAUGAUCAUCUUUGUCACCGGCAUGACACCAUGAUCUCCAUCAUCAUGAUCUCCAUCAUUGUGUCUUCAUGAAGUCGUCACGCCAACGAUUACUUCUACUUCUAUGGCUAACGCGUUUAGCAAUAAAGUAAAGUAAUUUACAUGGCGUUUAUUUAAUGACACGCAGGUCAUACAAAAUAAUAAAGACAACUCCUAUGGCUCCUGCCGGUUGUCAUACUCAUCGACAUGCAAGUCGUGAUUCCUAUUACAAGAAUAUGAUCAAUCUCAUACAUCACAUAUCAUUCAUCAGAUCUUCUGGCCAUAUCACAUCACAUAGCACUUGCUGCAAAAACAAGUUAGACGUCCUCUAAUUGUUGUUGCAAGUUUUUACGUGGUUUGUAGGUUUCUAGCAAGAACGAUUCCUUACCUACGUAUGACCACAACGUGAUUUGCCAAUUUCUAUUUACCCUUCAUAAGGACCCUUUUCAUCGAAUCUGUUCCGACUAAAGUAGGAGAGACAGACACCCGCUAGCCACCUUAUGCAACUAGUGCAUGUCAGUCGGUGGAACCUGUCUCACGUAAGCGUACGUGUAAGGUCGGUCCGGGCCGCUUCAUCCUACAAUGCCGCCGAAACAAGAAACGACUAGUAGCGGCAAGAAGAAUUGGCAAACUCAAUGCCCACAACUGCUUUGUGUUCUACUCGUGCAUAGUAACUACGCAUAGGCCUGGCUCAUGAUGCCACUGUUGGGAAUCGUAGCAUAAUUUUAAAAUUUUCCUACGUUCACCAAGAUGCAUCUAUGGAGUGUACUAGCAACGAGGGGAAGGGAGUGCAUCUACGUACCCUUGUAGAUCGCGAGCGGAAGCGUUCCAAUGAACGUGGAUGACGGAGUCGUACUCGCCGUGAUCCAAAUCACCGAUGACCGAGUGCCGAACGGACGGCACCUCCGCGUUCAACACACGUACGGUGCAGCGACGUCUCCUCCUUCUUGAUCCAGCAAGGGGGAAGGAGAGGUUGAUGGAGAUCCAGCAGCACGACGGCGCGGUGGUGGAUGUAGCGGGUCUCGUGCAGGGCUUCGCCGAGCUACUACGAGAGAGAGAGAGAGGUGUUGCAGGGGAGGAGGGAGGCGCCCAAGCUGUUGUGUCCUGCCCUCCCUCCCCCCUUUAUAUAGGCCCCUGGGGAGGGUGCGCCAGCCCUGGAGAUGAGAUCCAGGGGGGGGGGCGGCGGCCACAAGGGGGGAAGGGGUGCCUUGCCUCCCAAGGCAAGGGGGAACUCCCCCUAGGGUUCCCAACCCUAGGCGCAUGGGGGGAGGCCCAAGGGGGGCGCCCCAGCCCACUAGGGGCUGGUUCCCUUCCACUUUCAGCCCACGGGGCCCUCCGGGACAGGUGGCCCCACCCGGUGGACCCCCGGGACCCUUCCGGCGGUCCCGGUACAAUACCGAUAACCCCCGAAACUUUCCCGGUGGCCGAAACUGGACUUCCUAUAUAUAAUUCUUCACCUCCGGACCAUUCCGGAACCUCUCGUGACGUCCGGGAUCUCAUCCGGGACUCCGAACAACUUUCGGGUUUCCGCAUACAUAUAUCUCUACAACCCUAGCGUCACCGGACCUUAAGUGUGUAGACCCUACGGGUUCGGGAGACAUGCAGACAUGACCGAGACGCCUCUCUGGUCAAUAACCAACAGCGGGAUCUGGAUACCCAUGUUGGCUCCCACAUGCUCCACGAUGAUCUCAUCGGAUGAACCACGGUGUCGAGGAUUCAAUCAAUCCGUAUGCAAUUCCCUUCGUCAAUCGGUAUGUUACUUGCCCGAGAUUCGAUCGUCGGUAUCCCAAUACCUUGUUCAAUCUCGUUACCGGCAAGUCUCUUUACUCGUACCGCAAUGCAUGAUCCCGUGACUAACGCCUUAGUCACAUUGAGCUCAUUAUGAUGAUGCAUUACCGAGUGGGCCCAGAGAUACCUCUCCGUCACACGGAGCGACAAAUCCCAGUCUCGAUCCGUGCCAACCCAACAAACACUUUCGGAGAUACCCGUAAUGCACCUUUAUAGUCACCCAGUUACGUUGUGACGUUUGGCACACCCAAAGCACUCCUACGGUAUCCGGAAGUUGCACGAUCUCAUGGUCUAAGGAAAAUAUACUUGACAUUGGAAAAGCUCUAGCAAACGAAACUACACGAUCUUUUAUGCUAUGCUUAAGUUGGGUCUUGUCCAUCACAUCAUUCUCCUAAUGAUGUGAUCCCGUUAUCAAUGACAUCCAAUGUCCAUAGCCAGGAAACCAUGACUAUCUGUUGAUCAAUGAGCUAGUCAACUAGAGGCUUACUAGGGACACUUUGUGGUCUAUGUAUUCACACAUGUAUUACGAUUUCCGGACAAUACAAUUAUAGCAUGAAUAAUAGACAAUUACCAUGAACAAAGAAAUAUAAUAAUAACCAUUUAUUAUUGCCUCUAGGGCAUAUUUCCAACACCAACACGGCAGCCAAUAUCUCCUCCUCGUCGUCGGACGACGAAUCGUCGGAGUCGCAAAGGAAAUUGUGGAAAAAGAACUCGUCGGCGGAGUCCAUUUAGUACCUUGGCAAACUGUCGAACAGCCUGCGGGCGUCGACGAAGGAGACGGCCGGCGAGGGGAGUUGCGGCGCCCACAGACCAGCUAGCUGCCCUGCCGGCGUCCGACGAGCGUGCCGGUCGGAUGUGGCAGGGGCGGCGAGGCGGCUUCUUGGAGACGGGCGGCUGUNNNNNNNNNNNNNNNNNNNNNNNNNNNNNNNNNNNNNNNNNNNNNNNNNNNNNNNNNNNNNNNNNNNNNNNNNNNNNNNNNNNNNNNNNNNNNNNNNNNNNNNNNNNNNNNNNNNNNNNNNNNNNNNNNNNNNNNNNNNNNNNNNNNNNNNNNNNNNNNNNNNNNNNNNNNNNNNNNNNNNNNNNNNNNNNNNNNNNNNNNNNNNNNNNNNNNNNNNNNNNNNNNNNNNNNNNNNNNNNNNNNNNNNNNNNNNNNNNNNNNNNNNNNNNNNNNNNNNNNNNNNNNNNNNNNNNNNNNNNNNNNNNGGCGGCGGCAGCUCGAAGAGUCGCCGGAAAAAAUGGGCGGCGGCGGCGGUGAUGGAGGAGGCGAGAGUAGUGCUUUGUUGGCCGCAGGGUGAGACGGGAGGCCAAUGUGCCACAGACCAGCGGGCCCGGGGACAGGAGUAGGCGAGCGCGCGCGCCGGCACGUGUUCGCGCCGAUGCAAAUCAGGCUAAAAAAUGGGCCAGAAAUGGGUCGCCAGCGGACGAAAAACGGACGCGCGUCCGUUUGGGUCGGCGCGUUGGGCCGCCUUUUGUGUCCGCGCCGACCCAAACGGAUGGCCGCGGAUGAAAUGGGUCGCCCAUUGGAGUUGCUCUAAGUAAGCGAAAAUAAUUCCUCGGUGUUGCUCACGACACGUGAUUCGUGAUGCCCAUCCGACCAGAUUUAACUAAAUUCCUACCGACACACUGCGUCAUAUGGAAAACACGACACCUCUGGGAAAAGGAGAAGCAAGAGGAUUCGCGGACACACUUGUCUCUCAGUCGCUCUGAAACACCGGAGGGUAGAGAUAGCGAUGCGCCAUGCACGGACAGCAAAAGCUCCGAUGUGCCGUUCCACUUACUCGCUAAUAAUUUGCUGGGCCUUCGCCGUUCCACAGGACUCGAGCAGCGUUUGAUCCCGUCAGUCGCAGCCGCGGCCUGCCUCUGUCGGUCCGCAGACGCGAGGGGCAAAGCCGGAAACGCCCGAUCACCAGCAAUCGUUUGGGAGCUUCAUUAAACUAAUGGCGUCGGGGUGGUGCCUGCCACGAGGGUCGAACCCACACAUGCAAGCCGACACCUCGGGGGAAUAAACGCACGGUGACACAGCCCCCCUCCCCCCUCUUUCUGUCGGUGGCGGAGACGAGAGAGAAAAAAACGAGGCCACUGAUUAACAGCGGUGCGCGCAACCUGCAGACUAACGCCGUAGGCCCCCCGUCGCCGUCGCCCCGGUUGGUGCCCGUUACCUCGACGUACCAACAACCAGCCCAUCGCGUGAGUUGUUGUGACCAUGCCAUUAGCAUUAAUAAUUAGCAAAUUCGGCAAUUGUUUUUCUGGUUCCUGGUUUCUGGUGUUGUUAAUCAGUUUCCAGCCAGCGUCGAGAUCUCCAGCUGUGUNNNNNNNNNNNNNNNNNNNNNNNNNNNNNNNNNNNNNNNNNNNNNNNNNNNNNNNNNNNNNNNNNNNNNNNNNNNNNNNNNNNNNNNNNNNNNNNNNNNNNNNNNNNNNNNNNNNNNNNNNNNNNNNNNNNNNNNNNNNNNNNNNNNNNNNNNNNNNNNNNNNNNNNNNNNNNNNNNNNNNNNNNNNNNNNNNNNNNNNNNNNNNNNNNNNNNNNNNNNNNNNNNNNNNNNNNNNNNNNNNNNNNNNNNNNNNNNNNNNNNNNNNNNNNNNNNNNNNNNNNNNNNNNNNNNNNNNNNNNNNNNNNNNNNNNNNNNNNNNNNNNNNNNNNNNNNNNNNNNNNNNNNNNNNNNNNNNNGGACAUGUUCAGCGUUCAUUUGUUAAUUUGGGAGCAUGAAAUGGAUGGAGCUUAUUGUAGCUGAGGCUGAGGGUGACCACUAUGGUGUGGCCCGCGUGUCAGGGAUUGAAGGGAAUGAGGCGGUUGCUUGGACGUCCGCAUGGUUGAAUAGUUUUUUUAGGCUGCAUGGUUGAUUAGCUUUUUUUAGGGAAGCAUGGUUGAUUAGCUUGGAGGUUGGAUGUGCAUGCGGCCUGCAAAAGAAAAUUCUCUGCGCUGGAGUUCGGCACUGAACUGGGCCAGGCCAACUCCAACGCCGGGCUCUCCAAACUGAGGCCUCCUUUGAUUUGAAGAAAAUUUAUAGAAAUUCUACAUAAUAUGUUUUUUUAGAAAAAAAUCCUUAAGAGUCCAUUUGGUUUGUAGGAAUAGAAUCUUAUUCUAUGAAGGAAUUCUUCACAUUUCAUAAGAAAAUAAACUUUAGUCUGGACUCAAUGAAAAAAUCCCUAUCAUUUGAACCAAAUGGCAUCCCUUUUUCUGCUUCUAUUCAUAGGAUUUUAAAUACAUGGCAUUUCAAUUUCUACAAGUUUCAUAUUCCUACGAUAUUCCUACUAUAUGAACCAAAGGAGAGGCUUACAGUAAAAAAUAAAAAUGAGUCCAGACCAAAUGGACGGCCCAGUCAGUGCCUGGUCAAACACGCCUGAACGCGUCCGCCAGGUCGGACUGGUCCACCCUGGCCCAUCCAGACCCCAUAAAUAUCCCCACCCGGAUGAACCCUAGACCCCUGAAAGGAUCGAUAUAGUUGACUAGAGGGGGGGGGGGGUGAAUAGGCAACUAACAAUUUUGAACUUUUCUUUACCAAUUUAAACUUUGCAUCAAAGUAGGUUGUCUAGAUAUGCAACUAGGUGAGCAACCUAUAUGAUGCAACAACAACAAGCACACAAGCAAGAAAGGGAUAUAACACAAAUAAGCUUGCACAAGUAAAGGCACGAGAUAACCAAGAGUGGAGCCGGUGAAGACGAGGAUGUGUUACCGAAGUUCCUUCCUUUUGAGGGGAAGUACGUCUCCGUUGGAGCGGUGUGGAGGCACAAUGCUCCCCAAGAAGCCACUAGGGCCACCGUAUUCUCCUCACGCCCUCACACAAUGCAAGAUGCCAUGAUUCCACUAUUGGUGCCCUUGGAGGCGGCGACCGGACCUUUACAAACAAGGUUGGGGCAAUCUCCACAACUUAAUUGGAGGCUCCCAACGACACCACGAAGCUUCACCACAAUGGAAUAUGGCUCCGCGGUGACCUCAACCGUCUAGGGUGCUCAAACACCCAAGAGUAAUAAGAUCCGCAAGGGAUUAGUGGGGGGAUCAAAUUUCUCUUGGUGGAAGUGUAGAUCGGAGCCUUCUCAACCAAUCCCUAGAAAAUCAACAAGUUUGAUUGGCUAGGGAGAGAGAUCGGGCGAAAAUGGAGCUUGGAGCAACAAUGGAGCUUAGGGAUGGAAGAGGUGGUCAACUCGGAGAAGAAGACACCCCUUAUGUAGUGAGAGAACAAAUCCAACCGUUAUCCACUUAACCAGCCCGCGACCUGCUGUACUACCGCACGGUCUCACGGUACUACCGCGGCGGACCGCGGUACUACCGCAGCCACGGCAGAGCCUAAGUCCUGUCCUGACGCGCUAAGGCAUGGAGCGGUAGAACCGCUGGCGCGGUACUACCGCGCCCCCUUGCGGUACUACCACAAGGCAGAAAUGGACUAGGCUGGGAAGGCACGGACAUAUAAAAAUACAUCCGUGGCAACUUCCGCUGAGUUUUGAUCCAUGCAAAAAUCCAACACGGUACUACCGCAAGCCUGGAGCGGUACUACCGCGUGGGGCGCGGAUGUAAAAAAUUACAUCCGCCCCUACUGCCGCUCAUGCUGCUGAGUCUGGCCAGAGCGCACGGUACUACCGCGCCCAUGGCGCGGUACUACUGCAUAGGGCGCGGAUGUAAAAAAUUACAUCCGCCCUACUACCGCACUAGCAACAGCGCCUGGCCAGAGGCCACGGUACUACCGCUCCCUGGGUGCGGUACUACCGUGGGCACUUGCGGUACUACCGCGCCAGAGGCCGGUACUACCGCUCCGAGGAGCAGUACUACCGCAUGCCCCAGUUCAGCAACACGACAUUUUGCAUAGACAAGAAAGGACGGAGGAUGCUCCAAAGUGCCAAAGGAAAGGUGGUGCAAAAGGAGUAGACGUGUACGUGAUGAUUCCACCCAAACCUUUCCAAAGCGGACCCCCUCUUAAUAGUACGGCUUUCCUACGACUCAAAUCCACCGAAAAGAAACAUAGAGAAACACCGUCUUCAAUAGUCUUUGAGGGGCACCAAAUCGUCUUGUGCCUAGUCAUGAUAUGUCUGAAAUAUUCCAUGCACACGAUUAGUCCGCAAAAGCAUUGUCAUCAAUCACCAAAACAACUAAGGGAUAAAUAGCCCUUACAAUCUCCCCCUUUUUGGUGGAUUGAUGACAAUAUGGGAUUUGCACAAAGGGAGAUAAAGAACGAACAUGGGCAAACCCCACAUCUAUAAAAUAUAGACGGGCUCCCCUAGAUGUGUGCUAUCAAGAGAAGUGCUUUGGACUGCACGGCACACAUAUUAGGAUCAACACUCCCCCUAUAUUUUAUAGACAAGGCAUAUCUUGCAACAACAAAGCUAACACUAAGCAAGAUAAUAACUAUGAGCAUAAAGUAAAGUGCACAAGAUAGCAUAGGCCCAAUAAGGUACGGUAGAGUGCAUAUGUCUUACACCAUAUGAAAGGAAGGUCUCACAAGCACAAACCAAACCAAAGCAAACGAGGUUCAAAGGAACGAAAGCAAGGCGACAAGACGAAAACAUGACACACGACUCGCAAAUCCUACACUCUCUCCCCCUUUGGCAUCGAGCCACCAAAAAGGCAGAGAGGACACCUACGACACAAGUGGUGGCUCAAGCUGAAGUGAUCACUCGUCACGCUCCUCGUCAGACUCGGCAACGGGGAUAGGCUCCUCCUCAGACUCAGUCCACUGAUACCCCUGCUUCGCCAUCCAUUCUGCCUCUGGAGUGAUGUGCUUCUCGGACCCACUGGAUAUGUCCUUGCCAAAUGUCCUCAAGAUCCUCUUGUCACGGCGGCGACUCUCCUUGGAAGCAACAUGAGUCCUGUAUUGCCCCUUGGCUUGCAUGCAGAACAAGGCCUUCAUCUUGGCCUUCAGCUUCUUAGCCCAUGAUGGCUCAGCAAAGGGAGGGGCAUACCCAACAGAGCUGUCCUCAUCUGCUUCCUCCUCCUCAAUCUCCUCCUCAUCGACAUCCAUCCUAGCAGCCUCUGCCUCAGCACGAGUAGUGGUGUUAGCCCACUGGGGCUUGAUGCGGAGCUUGAUGGGGUCGUGACGGAUCCAGUCAGGGGCAAGAAACUCGUCAUGAGGAUAGAGCUUCUCCCAGAUCUUUGAGAUCAAGAGAAACAGGUAAGGUCCAUAGAUGGGUACCUUACGGUUGAACACCGCAAACCGAAGCUCGCACCACAUGAUGUGGAGACGUCAAGAGGUUGAGUCUGAGAGAGACGCGCCUCCUCACAGAUGAGAAUCAUAUCCACAAGAUAGGCAUGCACCUUGUCCUUAUCACCAAUGCGGGGAAAGAGGGAGUUGCGGAAGAUCCAGUGCAUGAUGUCAAGGAAUGGGUUCAACACCCACGUCUUCUUGUCAUUGGGAAGCUUCUUCUCAACAAGGUACUGCUUGUUCUUGCUAGCUGACUCGGGGUUGGAAUGAGGGCGAACACCAACAGGCGUGUUGAGCCCCUCAUCAGGUACGUGGAGCAAAUCCAUGAAGUUCUUCCACUUAGCAGUCAUCUGUUGUCCAUUGGUUAUCCAGGUCAUCUUUCGUUCCUCAUCAGUAUGAAAGUGGACCGAAGCAAAGAACUGGGCCACAAUCUCGGGAUCAAAGUCCAGGUGGAAAGAGAUCACGUCCUCAAUGCCAAACUGCUCUACCAGGUCCAAAGCCUCACCAAAGUAGGCACGGUGCUUAUCCUCCCUCAUGUGAUUCAUGUAAAUCCAGUGCACAUCCACAUAGAUGUUCUGCUUGGCCUUGAUCACAUCCAGAUAAAUGAGAUUCUGCUGCUUGGUCCAGAAUAGAUCAUUCCCUUUGAAGUUGGCACGAGGAUUCACAUAAGGGUUGAUCCUCCUUCGAGUGACAAACUCAGCAAGUGGUAUCUCAUCCAUGCCCAUGGAGGGCUCCUUGUUCUUGGUGGCAGUGGUCUUGGUCCUGCGUUGGGGGGCAUUGGAGCCCUCUAGAGCUUUGUCUUGGUUGCACAGACGCUUGGAGCCCGUGUCACGGCUGGGAUUGGAACGGCGUGCAGGGGCACCGGAGCCACCACCUAUGACACACAACACAAGAACACGCAAGAAAAACGAGAGGGAUCAGUGCAAAGACCACAACAAAACAGGUGAAACAAGUAGAACUCGCACUUGGUAAUUGCCACUUGGGAGAUUUGACAACAACGGUAGUACCGCAUGAAUGCGCGGUACUAAAAUUUUAGUGCUGCUCCUAGCCACGGUAGUACCAUGCCAGGAUGGCACAGUAGUACCGCGCCUCGAAGCGGAAGUUGAAUUUUAGUGCCGCGCCUCGCGCGGUAGUACCGCUCCUGAGGAGCGGUAGUACCGUACGAGCGGUAGUACCGCACCAGAGAUGCGGUAGUACCGCACGAUGUCAGAUCCGAACCUCAAAUGGAUCUGAGCACAACCGUAACAACGAGGCGGUACUACGAUUGAUCAAAUCCACCACGGGGCAACAUACCAAGUACCAUCUCUACGCAUUACUACUCUCCUACAUCCUACUCAUGCAAAGAUUUGGCCUAAAAUCUCAAGAACAACAUGCAUCUCCCCAAAACCUAGAAACGAAAGAACGAACCAAAGAGAGAGGGAUUUGGGGAGAAACCUUGUUCCAUGGCAAGAGGAAGUGGUGGGGAACGAUCCCGCCGGAAAAAAUGCGAGGAGAGCGGCCAGAGACGGAGAUCUGGCGAGGGUCUCCGGCGCCGUUCUUGGGCAAGAGAGAGAGACAGCGUGGGGAAAAAGAGUUGAAUGGGUAUGGGGGAGUGGGAACUCCCCCUGCCCGCUCUUAACCCCCACGCGCUCUCGACUGCGCGGUAGUACCGCGUGUCAUCGCGGUAGUACCGCCUGGGCGGAAGUACCGCACCGUGGGCGGUAGUACCGCUCCCCCAGCGGCAGUAAAAAAUUACUGCCGUGCUGGGUGCGGUAGUACCUUGCGCAGCUCCCGCGGUAGUACCGUGGUAAGCCACGGUAGUACCGUAGAACCAAGAAAAUGCACGUUUCGAAAACAGAGAAUAAAAAUGGCCUUUGCAAAGCAACCUUCCAGCAAACGGACACACCAAAGAGCUAACCCACGAGACAACACACGCAAGCUCGGCACGAAGAAAGGGAGGCAAGAGACAACAAGGACUAAACACGCAACACAACCUCUCCAAAGAGAGGGCGAUGGCCGGAGCCACCUAUGUUUGAGUCAAUUGGUAUGGCACCACGAAGAAUUAUCCUUGGGCCCAUGACCAAAAUUCAUCUUUGAAGAACAAGUACCAUCAACAAUGGCUAAUGUGAAAGAGUUGAUCAAUUUAUGCAUAAUGCGGGGAGGGAGAGUUCAUUGAGAGAACAACACCCCCCUAUCUCCAUGCCUACACCUAAACAAGAUAACAAGUUGAGUAUGGUGGGGUGUGCAAGGGUUCAAGCAACAUUGCUCGAAUCUAUGAUAUUUAGCUCAUGCCUUAACUCGCGAAAUCUUGCUUCAUCCAAGGGCUUCGUGAAAAUAUCUGCAAGGUUAUCAUGAGUGUUGACAUAGUUGAGCUUGAUCUCCCCUCGCCUAAUGUGAUCCCGGAUGAAGUGAUACCGAAUCUCAAUAUGCUUCGUCUUGAAGUGUUGAACCGGGUUGAGAGAAAUCUUGAUGGCACUUUCAUUGUCACACCAAAGAGGCACUUUGUCACAAAUGACACCGUAAUCAUUUAAAGUUUGCCUCAUCCAUAGGAGUUGUGCACAACAACUACCGGCCGCCACAUACUCCGCUUUGGUGGAUGAGAGAGACACACAACUUUGCUUCUUAGAAGACCAACUUACCAAAGAGCAACCAAGGAAUUGGCACCCUCCGGAGGUGGACUUCCUAUCCACUUUGUCUCCCGCCCAAUCCGAGUCCGAAUAUCCUGCAAGCUUGAAGUUUGCUCCUCUUGGGUACCACAAGCCAAAGUUUGGGGUAUGAGCCAAAUAUCGAAAGAUUCGUUUGACCGCCACAAAGUGGCUUUCCUUAGGUGCGGCUUGAAACCGUGCACAAAUUCCCACACUCGACAUGAUAUCCGGUCUAGAUGCACAAAGGUAAAGCAAGGAGCCAAUCAUGGAGCGAUAUACCUUUUGAUCCACCGCUUUACCAUUGGGAUCAAUGUCAAGUUGGCAUUUGAUGGGCAUUGGAGUGGAAGCCGGCUUGACAUCACUUAGCUUGAAUCUCUUGAGCAUGUCUUGAGUGUAUUUGGCUUGGUUGAUGAAGGUUCCUUCUCUUCUUUGUUUGACUUCGAAUCCGAGGAAGAACUUCAACUCUCCCAUCGAAGACAUCUUGAACUUUGAGGUCAUGAGAGCGGCAAAUUCCUCAUUGAUAGCUUUGUUAGGGGAACCAAAGAUAAUAACAUCAACAUAUAGUUGACACACAAACAACUCCCCUUUGACCUUCUUAGUAAAAAGAGUGGGGUCGAUUUUCCCAACUUCAAAUCCACGAUCUUGCAACAACUCGGUAAGGUGGUCAUACCACGCACGUGGGGCUUGUUUAAGGCCAUAGAGUGCCUUAUCGAGUUGAUACACAUGAUCGGGGAAGUAGGGAUCCUUGAACCCGGGGGGUUGUUUGACAUACACCAACUCAUUAAUAGGACCAUUAAGAAAAGCACUCUUCACAUCCAUUUGUUGCAACUUAAAGUUAUGAUGAGAAGCAUAAGCAAUCAACAAACGAAUGGAUUCAAGGCGAGCAACGGGAGCAAAUGUUUCACCGUAGUCGAUACCCUCAACUUGGGAGUAGCCUUGUGCUACCAAUCUUGCCUUGUUGCGAACGAUGGUCCCAUGAGCAUCUUGCUUGUUCUUGAAUAUACACUUGGUUCCAAUGACAUUGUGGUUCCCCGUUGGCCUUGGCACCAAUCUCCACACCUUGUUGUACUCGAAGUUGUUGAGUUCUUCAUGCAUGGCAUUGAGCCAAUCCGGAUGUUCGAGCGCCUCAUAGACCUUUUGGGGUUCAACACAAGAGACAAACGCGCGAUGUUCACAAUAGUUUGCCAAUUGUCUAUGAGUGCUUACCCCCUUUUGAAUGCUUCCAAGCACAUUCCUCAUGAGAUGACCCUUGGUAGAGAGCUUGGAUGCAAUCUUGGCGGCACGACGCUCCAAUUCCUCCUCGGGGGUGAGUUGAGGAGCAGAAACUUGAUCAUCUUGAGCGUCGUCUUGAGCUUGCUCAUGACCUCGAGCUAGACCUUGAGCAUCACUUGGUGGUUCACCACCAUCUUGAGGUUGAUCUUGCCCUUGAUCUUGUUCAUUUGGUUGAGGGCCUUCACCUUGUUCUUCGGAAGCAUGUGGGUCUUGGGUUGGUGAUGGUUCCACUUGAGUGGAACAUUGUCCUUCUCCCUCGGACACAAGGGGUUCCUCAAUGGGUAGGAUAUGACCAACACCCAUUAUUCUUAUGGCUUGGGGAGGAAUUUCAUCACCUACAUCACAAGUACCACUUUGCUCCACUUGGGAGCCGUUAUUCUCAUCAAACUCCAUGUUACACGUCUCCUCAAUAAGUCCCGUGGACUUAUUAAGAACACGGUAAGCAUGGGAGUUUGUAGCAUAACCAACAAAUAUGCCCUCAUGAGCUCUAGCCUCAAAUUUAGACAAACGAACACCUUUCUUGAGAAUGAAACACUUACACCCGAACACCCGGAAGUACUUGAGGUUGGGCUUGUUACCGGUGAGAAUCUCAUAUGGAGUCUUGUUCAAGCCCUUGCGGAGGUAGAGCCGAUUAGAUGCAUGACAAGCAGUGUUGAUGGCUUCGGCCCAAAAGUUGUAUGGAGACUUGAACUCCGCCAUCAUGGUCCUUGUCGCAUCCAUCAACGUCUGGUUCUUCCUCUCCGCUACACCAUUUUGUUGAGGGGUGUAUGGUGUGGAAUAUUGAUGCUUGAUCCCCUCAUCACUAAGAAACUCAUCCAAGGUGUAGUUCUUGAACUCGGUGCCAUUGUCACUUCUUAUAGUCAAGAUCUUUGCAUUGUGUUGAUGUUGGGCUUCAUUUGCAAAGUCAAUGAUGGUUUGUUGGGUCUCACUCUUCCUCUUGAAGAAAUAUACCCAAGUGUAUCUUGAAUAGUCAUCCACAAUCACCAAGCAAUACUUUCUGGCCCCAAGACUAACAAAGGAUGGAGGCCGAAAGAGAUCCAUGUGGAGGAGCUCCAAAGGCCUCUUCGAAUAAAUGAUAGUCGUGGGAGGGUGAGCCUUCUCAUGUAGCUUUCCUUCGAUACAAGCACUGCAAGUACGAUCUUUAGCAAAACUAACAUUUGUUAGUCCACGGACAUGGUCCCCCUUGAGAAGACUUUGCAAAGAUCUCAUAUUGACAUGGGCUAAACGGCGAUGCCAAAGCCAUCCCACGUCAACUUUAGCCAUUAGGCAUGUCGCGGUCUUAGUGGGUUGCUCCGAAAAGUUAAUCACAUAGAGACCGUUCUCGACAUGCCCAACAAAGGCUACUUUCAGAGUCUUGCUCCACAAGAGAGCCACGGUAUCAAUAUCAAAGAAAGUGGCAAAGCCCAUGAGUGCAAGUUGACGAACGGAAAGUAAAUGUAUGCAAGGGACUCAACAAGCAUGACCUUCUCGAUCGUGAGAUCAUGAGAAAUGACAACCUUGCCGAGUCCCAAUACCUUAGAAGACGAGGCAUCACCCCACUCGACAUUGGUGGGCAUAGAUGGAAUCUUGUGCACGUCCACCACCAAGUCCUUGCUUCCGGUCAUAUGAUUUGUAGCUCCACUAUCGAGCAACCAUGAUCCCCCACCGGAAGCAAACACCUACAAGAGAUCAAUGCUUGGUUUUAGGUACCCAUUUUGUAAUGGGUCCUUUGAUGUUAGUGACAAGGGUCUUAGGAACCCAAAUAGACCAUUCAAUGUACUCAUAAGGAGAACCAACAAAUUUGGCAUAAACAUGCCCAUCACUAGCACGGCACAACACAUAAGAAGGGUUAAAGUCGCCGGCUUUGUUGGAAGGGGUGGCAUUGCCCUUCUUGACACCACCACCCUUCACAUUGUUCUUCUUCUCCUUGGAAGCACCCUCUCCCUCCUUCACAAAAGUUUGCUUGAGAGGAGGAGGUCAUUUGGUCUUGUCAUUCUUCUUCUUGUUCUUGGACACGGGUGCGAACCCAAUCCCUUCCUUGGCCACAACUUCCUUUUGAUUGCUCAAAAGGUUGUUGAGGUUCUUCUCACCUUGUAUGCACGACACAAGGCCUUUCUCAAGUUGUUCCUUCAACUUUGCAUUCUCCUCAACAAGAUGCACAUGCUCACAACAAGGGUUAGUAGCAUUUGCAUUAUCAAUUAAAACCAUGUGAGGAAAAGUGGCUUUCUCCUUGGUUAGCUUCACUUGGAGUUGAUCAUGAGACUCCUUGAGGCUAGCAUGAACACCUUUCAAGGCCUUGUGAGCCUUGUCAAGUAUAUCAAACUCCUCCUUGAGUCUAGAAAGAUCAACCCCAAGCUUGGCCUUCUCGGAGUUUAGCACACGAGAUACAACAAGUGCAUGAUCAAGAUCUUUCUUUAAUUUAGCGUGGUCAUCGUUGUAUGACUCCUCAAGAGCCAGACGAAGACCUCGCUCUUCCUCAAGAGCAUUGGAAAGAUCCGAAAUCUCAUCGGCAUAGUCACGACUAUGCCCCUCCAUCUUAGAGAUGGUAUCUUUGUGAGCCUCGAUCAUGUCAUUGGCUUCACCAAGUUGUUCCAAGAGAGCAACGAAGUGCUUCUUGGAUUUACCCUUGAGUUUACUCAUAAAAGACUCAAAUUCAUUCUCCUCCACAUUAGACCCCUCAUGUUCAUCAAUGCAAUCCGUCAAAGAAGGAUUAUGAAUGAUGGUAGUUUUGAUGUUGGGGGUUACCUUGUUGGUGGCUUUAGCCAUGAGGCACUUGGCGGUGAUGUUCUCAUUGGGUGAGUCGAAGAGAGACACCCGUGGAGUUGUCGCAAUGGCAACAGAGGCCAUGGCAACCGACUCACCGUCAUCAUCAUCAUCAUCAUCCUCAUGGUACUCUUCUUGUGCCACCAACCCCUUGGGAGGAGUCUUCUUGGUGAAGUUGCUCUUGUUGGGGAAAGACUUGGCCUUGUCCUUUCAGAUGAGCUUGCCACCAUUGUCUUCCCUCUUCUCAUAAGGACAUUCCACAACAAAGUGGCUCACAUUGCCACAAUUAUAGCAAGUGCUCACUCGUUGCUUGAACUUCGCGCCACUUGAGUUGUUCUUGUUGAAGUUGGGCCUUGUGUUCUUCUUGCUCCAAAGUUGCCUUGAAGCAAGAGCCAUGUGUUCAUGAUAAGCAUACUUUGUAUCUUCGGGGUUGCUCUCCUCUUCUUCCUCUUCUUCCACACUAACCUUGGCCUUCAAGGCAAGGUUGGGCUUCUUUGCUAUUUGACAACGUAACACCUCCUUGUCGACGGUCUUGUCCAAGAUGCUCAUAGCCACAAACUCAUCCAACACUUCACUUGAGGACAAGGUGUGGAAGUCCGGCCUUUGACGAAUGACGGAGGACAUGGCCUUGUGGUAAGGCAUCAUGGCCUUGAGGAAUUUGCGCUUGACACUACAAAAAAAAUACACUUCCGUGAUGAUACGUGUUUGUCACAGUAGGUCGCGUUUUCUGUCAUGCAUGUACAUCCAUGACGAUUUUAUGAUAGAAUCAAGAUAGUCAUACAUGUGCUGUCGUAGAAGUGUUCCAUGACAUUACCAAAAUUAUCAUCACGGAAGUGUCCACUUCCAUGGCGAAAAACCGUGCGUCACAGAAGUGCUUUCGUCAAGGGUGGCCGACACGUGGCAUCCACCGUAACGGGUCGCCGUUAAGCUAUCGGGUCCAGUUUUGGAUCCGAUAACCCGUUAACAGCCCGGACCAAUGGCGAUUUUCCACGUGUAAAAUCAUCAUUGGCUGGAGGAAACACGUGUCAGCUCCCCAUUGGCACAUGUGUCACUCAUCCAAUGGGCGAGAUGCGCUUAUGAAAUGUUGACACGUGGACCGGCACAAAAGUGGCCCAUAAAGUUUAAAUGGGCCGGCCCAACUAAAGGCCCACAAGAUUUUGCGGUCCAUAAUGGGCCGGCCCAGCAAAAGGCCCACGUUUGCGGACCAUAAUGGGCCGGCCCAGCUAAAGGCCCACAAGAUUUUGCGGGCCAUAAUGGGUCGGCCCAACUAAAGGCCCGCGAGAUUUUGCGGACCAUAAUGGGCCAGCCCAGCUAAAGGCCCACAAGAUUUUGCGGACCAUAAUGGGCCGGCCCAACUAAAGGCCCACGAGAUUUCGCCGACCAUAAUGGGCCGGCCCAGCUAAAGGCCCAAAAGAUUUUGAUGACACUAGUAGGCCGGCCCAUUAACAGGCUGCCAUGUUUUGGGCCAAAUGCCGACCCAUAUUUGAUCCGGUCCAUUAACAGUCUGCCACGUUCCGGGCCUAAUAAAGGCCCAUAUGAGAUCCGGCCCGUUAAAAGCGUACCAUGUUCUGGGCCAAAUUAUGGCCCAGAUCAGGUCUGGCCCUUUGAGAGGCUUUGGGCUAAAUUAUGGCCCAUAUCAGAUUCGGCCCGUCAACUGGACGCUAUGCUUUUGGGCCCACUUAAUAAAGGCCCAUUUAGUAAUUCGGCCUGAUAUUAGUUUCGGCCUGUUAAAGGCCCGUUUAACAUUUCGGCCCUAUAUAUAUUUCGGCCUGUUAAAAGCCCGUCAUAUAGUUGGGCCUAACUACGACCCCGUUUGCAUCCGGCCUGCUCACAGACGAUAAUCUGAUUGGGCCAAACAAAGACUGAGACAAUUUUGGCCUGUUAUAAGUCCAUGAUUUGAUUGGCACAAUCAUGGGCCGGGGUCUAUUUCGGCCUGCUUCCGGCCCGUGAGCUAUUCGGCACGUUUCAGGACCAACCUACUUUUCAGCCUCCUAAAAGCCCAUUGAGUUUUCUUGGGAAAAUAGGGCCGGCGGUUUACUCGGCCUAUUAAAGGCCCGAAUCUACUAGUGGGCUAGUUUACAUUUAGGCCUGUUAACGGACCAAGAUGACGGGGCCUAUGAUGCGGAUCAUACAUAGUGAUUUGCAUGACGGCCCGAUUAUGUACCGUAAUUUUACGGUUUGGCCGGUUUACUGCGAAGACAGGAUAUAUAUACAGUAAAAUAAGUGCAGCAUCGUGAAUAAGAAAAAAAACCUAGACUAUACAAUAAAGAAAUUACGGCAUAUUACAUCCACUGGGCAUCAAAGUUCGCCACUAUGAUAAUAAAGCACAAGCAGACAACAGAUUACAUACACUGGGCAUCAAAGAUCGCCACCGGUGCAAUUAAACAUGCCGACAAAAUAAUAUACAAAACCGACAGCACUUCAAUAGAGUUCAAGAAAGGUUAGCCCUGCUCGGGAGCUGCAGCGCAAGCAGCUGAGCAAGCUGAUGAGACUGCACUUGUUUGACACUUAUAUCCUCCUCACUCUGAAAGAUAAACAAGCAGACAGAUGACAUGUUUUGCACAUAUAAGUAUCAGUGCUGACAAUUCAUCACAUUUCUUACUGACGAAUAAAGUGACAUAGUUUAAAAUAGCAUUAACACAAUAUGGUAUUGUUCAGGUCAAGACAUGGCAGGAAUGACAUUGUGAAGGAGUUGGCAGCUUCACGACACCACUGGAUUACAGAUCAAGAACUCAUAAGUACCAAUGGUUAGUGUGCUGUCAAUUUAUCCCAUUUCAGAUUGGCAAAAUAAGAUCACUUGCUCUGUAUAGUUUAAUUUACAUGGUAUGAAGAAGGAACUUGGUUGUACAACUGAAAACUUAAAUUGAGAAGGUCAAACUUUUGUUUAUGAACUACUCCCCCGUCCCAUAAUAUAAGAACAUUUUUUACACUACACUAAUGUCAAAAACGUUCUUAUAUUAUGGGACGGAGGGAGUACAUAAUAAACUUUAAACAUGCAAUUUGAUGCAAACACCAAAAAUAAACAGCUGUUGCAGUCAUGCCUAACCAAAUAUACACAACAAAGUUUGAAGGCUUGAUAAGGAGAAACUUACAUUAUUGGUGAAGGCAGGCUCUAUAAAGCCCUUGUCCAUGCUGAUGGGGGGGGGGGCAAUUCAAGAAGUUUACCAUAGAAUCUUCUUCAUAAGCAUUGCCUUUAUUCUACAUUUUGUUAAGCGUAAAUAUAGAUGUGACAAUAUAAGAAAAAAUGGAGAAUAUUUAAGAUAAGAUGAAGAGUGAUGCUACAUAACCAAGUAGCUAUAAAUGUAAGUACAGCGAUACAGGCAAAAGGUACAGCCAAGAGCAAUGCAGAGCUAAACUUCUUCAGUAUCAUCGGUGUUAUCCAACCUUAUGGUAAGAGUAAAUAUAGAUCUUAUGUGUAGAAAAUGGAGGGCAAAGGAAAUAAGCUGUAGAGUGAUGGUACAUGAACAACUACCUGUCAAUAUAAGUACACUGAUAAAGGACAGCAGGUACUUACAAGAACAAUGCAGAGCUAAAAAAUUGCAUUGGCAUUGUAUAUAUUCUACACUAAUGUAACCAUUCAUACAGAUCAGAUAAUUUGGAGCGAACAAUUGAUAAGCAAGCUAUCAUGCAUACUGUUGUCACAUAAUGAACCAGGUAUGUAUGCAAGUACAGUGAUAUAGGACAAUAGGUACUAACAAGAGCAAAGCAGCGAGCAACAUAUUUGCGAUAUCCCGUCGUUCUUUUCAAACCGGAAUUCUUUUUCGAGCAGAUUUCCUGCAAAAAAGAUCCGUAAGGCACAUGCGGAAAAGUAGAAGUUCAAAUUGUCAUGCGAUAUCAUAGACAGUACCUCAUCCUCGGAACGAGAUUAGUGCAUAACAAGGUUUUUCCAUUCAAUGUCUUCUAAAUUUAGCACAGGAGACUUCACCAGAAAUUCGUUUAUAGGCUUUCCAUCAAAGUGUGAUUUCCUCAGGUAACACUGAUACUGCUGCAAUGCUUCCUUGAAAAGCGCAAGCAAGCUUUGCUCAUCAUGACUAUCCAGAUUGACCCUCGCCUACUUACAACAAUGUAAUGUAAAUCAUUGAUGUGUUCAAUCAGCAGAAAACAGGAAAAUAAUCACCAUGAAUAAUAGCACUUACAUGUAAGUGGGACAGGAAGAUGUGAAAAUCAUGUUUGUCUUCACUAUAAUCUUCCCAUGAUGGGAAUAUAUGCACGUAGUCCCUAACAACAUUGAAAGCAUUGUCUUUUAACUGGGAAUAACUGGAAUGGGGUUCCAAUCUGCAGGAAUUGGCCGUCUCUGCAGUUGGGAUAGGUCUUCGGCCGGUGGACUUGCUGUACUUUUUGCUGGAGUGGGAUUUUUCUGUGGUACGGCUGGUGCUAUGGCAACUGAAAUCGGCAUACCUUUUGCUGGAGUGCAGGUCCUAUGUGGUGGGGUUAGUGGUGUGGCCAGUGAAGUAUGGGUACAGUCUGCUGGAGUCGGUCCUACGUUUACAACCAAUAUAAGUGGGGUGCUGUCUGAUUUCUCCGGCACAACCACGUUUUUUAAGGACUUUGCUGGUGCUCCUUCAGGUUCGGCAAUCACCCUAUUCCUUUUUGAUGUCUGAUGCACAAGAACAACAUUUGAGUGGAAAAACAUGGUAUGAUGACAGAUGGAAUAUGUAUUGAUAAUGGAUGGGCAUGGCAUCUCGACAUAUAUGAUGAGUAAACUAAGCAGAUGGCGGUGCAACAAAGUAGAAGAAAUGCAAGACAACAUAUGCAAGAUACGCGCAAUCAAUAAAACCUUGCCAAAUUAGAACAAGCACCUUGAUGGGCGAAUAUGACAGGCCAUCUGCCUUUGACUCCUCGAGGUUAGAAUAGUCAUUAGGAUCAUAUUCUGAACAAGAAUCUACAGGUAGGGAGCGUAUGAGUUUCAUUGCAUCCAGAAUGGCACUCAAUGCCUUGGUGCCAAUUUUGUAAGUCAUUGCAGUGUUCCACAAUAUUCUUCUGAUGCGCGGAUUCUGAUAUUCACUGUAAUUACGUAUAAUAUCUGAGAACCAUGAAAACAUAAAUAGUUGUGAGAUUAUCUUUGUAAUGCAGAGGAUAUUCUAAUAUAGGGGCGCCCCUGUAAACACUUGUGUGCUA
rnacentral:lncRNA from 1 species